rnacentral:lncRNA from 1 species
GUUUGGAUGUUGCAGUCGCGAGGAGAGUCUUUCCUGGUUGUUUUUGUAGUUCAAAUCACCUUGUUAAGGUGAGUGCGUGACCAUGAGCUUAUCUAAGCGAUUGGAUUGAGUGAUUUAUUGUUUGAUGAUUUGUAGGUAACUAGAUGUGUUAUUGGAUGUUUAGCUUGCUGGAUGGUUUGUUUUUGUCAUAUAUGUGGGUGUUAUCUCAUUGCUUAUGUGUAUAGCUCGUAGAUGGGAGGAUCAUCCUCACUAAGUAUUUAUGAAAUACUUAUGCAUCUCUUUCUUUGAUGUAGGUAAAAGCAAAGUGUGAUCCGUGGAAUCAUGGCGAGGAGAGGAGGAUGAUCUAGGCACUCAUUGGUGUUUUAGAUUAUUGUUGGAUUUGUUAGGGUGUUAGAAUGGAAUUUAGAAACAUGUUAGGAUGACCAUGUUUUGGAAUAAUGUUUGGUUGAACUUGUUGGUUUAAUGGAAUUGUUUUAUUGGAUUUUUGGUUAAGUCUUCCGCUGGAUAAUAUUGUUGGUUUACUUUAAUGAGAUUGCUUGGUUUAAUUGAUUUAAAUUAUUAUGGCCGGUUUAGCUGGUUCGAAUUAAAAGGGUUAAUCCGGUUUGCAUGUUUAAAAGAA